GAUGAAGAACGUAGCGAAAUGCGAUAAGUAAUGUGAAUUGCAGAUUUUCAGUGAAUCAUCGAAUCUUUGAACGCACCUUGCGCCCUUUGGCCAUUCCGAAGGGCAUGCCUGUUUGAGUAUCAUGAACACCUCAACUCUUUAUGGUUUUCCAUGAUGAGCUUGGACUCUGGGGGUUUUGCUGGCUCACAGUCGGCUCCUCUAAAAUGAAUCAGCUUACCAGUGUUUGGUGGGUAUCAUGGGUGUGAUAACUAUCUACGCUUGUGGUUUUUCCACCAGGUAACCUUCAGCAGUGGAGGUUCGCUGGAGCUCAUAGAUGUCUCUCCUCAGUGAGGACAGCCCUUUGAAUGUUUGAUCUCAAAUCAGGUAGGACUACCCGCUGAACUUAAGCAUAUCAAUAAGCGGAGGA
rnacentral:misc_RNA from 1 species